rnacentral:tRNA from 1 species
GGGGAUGUAGCUCAAACGGUAGAGCGCUUGUUUUGCAUGUGACAGGUAUGGGGACCGAUACCCCGCAUCUCUA